ACAAGUUGACAAGAGCAUCGGGUGGAUGCCUUGGCGUCGGAAGGCGAUGAAAGACGUGGUAAGCUGCGAAAAGCCUCGGGGAGAAGCUAAACAUUCUGUGAUCCGGGGAUUUCUGAAUGGGGAAACCCGGCGGAGGUCAUGCUCCGUCGCGGGCACUUGAAUACAUAAAGUGCCUAGCGCCAACUCAGGGAAGUGAAACAUCUCAGUACCUGAAGGAAAAGAAAUCAAACGAGACUCCCAAAGUAGCGGCGAGCGAAAUGGGAUGAGCCCAAACCGGCUGGAUUCGUUCAGCCGGGGUUGUAGGGCCGGCAUAUGUGAUUCAUGAGUAGGCAGGGGAAAUGAGCUGGAAAGCUCUGCCAGAGCGGGUGACAGCCCCGUACCUGAAACCGAAAGCGACACAGCCGGUACCUGAGUACCGCGAGACACGUGGAACCUCGUGGGAAUCCGGGAGGACCAUCUUCCAAGGCUAAGUACUAACCGACGACCGAUAGUGUACCAGUACCGUGAGGGAAAGGUGAAAAGAACCUCUGUUAGAGGAGUGAAAUAGAAUCUGAAACCUGGUGCUUACAAGCUGUGAGAGCGGACUUGUUCCGUGAUCACGUGCCUUUUGCAUAAUGAGUCAGCGAGUUAAUCUGUACUGCAAGGUUAAGCGUGAGUGGAGCCGUAGGGAAACCGAGUCUGAUAAGGGCGAUGAGUAGUGCGGAUUAGACCCGAAACCGGGUGAUCUAUCCAUGAGCAGGUUGAAGCAAGGGUAAAACCUUGUGGAGGACCGAACCAAUACCGGCUGAAAACGGUUUGGAUGACUUGUGGAUAGGGGUGAAAGGCCAAUCAAACCCGGUGAUAGCUGGUUCUCCCCGAAAUAUAUUGAGGUAUAGCCUCAUGGAUUGUCUACCGGAGGUAAAGCACUGACAGGGCUAGGGGUCCUACCAGAUUACCAAACCCUAUCAAACUCAGAAUGCCGGUCAGAUGUACCAUGGGAGUCAGACGGCGGGUGCUAAGGUCCGUCGUCGAGAGGGUAAGAGCCCAGAUCAACAGCUAAGGUCUCCAAAUCUAUGCUCAGUGGUUAAGGUGGUGACGUUGUAGAGACACCCAGGACGUUGGCUUAGAAGCAGCCAUCGUUUAAAGAAAGCGUAAUAGCUCACUGGUCUAAUGACGUUGCGCCGAAAAUGUAACGGGGCUAAGCAUAGUACCGAAGCUUUGAAUUCCGCAUAUGCGGUCUGGUAGGGGAGCGUUCUUCACGGGCUGAAGGUGUGUCGUAAGGCAUGCUGGACUGUGGAGAAGUGAUUAUGCUGACAUGAGUAACGAUAAAACGGGUGAAAAACCCGUUCGCCGUAAACCCAAGGUUUUCCGGGUAAAGGUAAUCUUCCCGGAGUUAGUCGGCCCCUAAGGCGAGGCUGAAAGGCGUAGCUGAUGGGAAACGUGUUAAUAUUCACGUACUUGUGUGUUCGCGCGAUGAAGGGACGCAGGAAGAUAGGCAAGCCGGGCGCUGGUUGUCCCGGUGCAAGCGUGUAGGGAUGAGAAGUUGGCAAAUCCGCUUCUCUUUAUCCUGAGACGCGAGUCCGUGACCGAAAGGUCUGAAGUUGUUGAGUCUAUGCUGCCUAGAAAAGCUUCUAAGUAUAGGACACGCAAACCGUACCGGAAACCAACUCAGGUGGGUGGGAUGAAUAAUCCAAGGCGCUCGAGAGAACUCUGGCCAAGGAACUCGGCAAAAUAACCCCGUACCUUCGGAAGAAGGGGUGCUUUUUAGGGUGAAACGAUUCACUCUGUCGAGCCCUGAAAAGCCGCAGAGAAAUGGUGGUGGCGACUGUUUACUAAAAACAUAGGUCUGUGCCAAGUCGUAUAGACGACGUAUACGGACUGACGCCUGCCCGGUGCUGGAAGGUUAAAAGGAGGAGUCAGCGCAAGCGAAGCUCCGAAUUGAAGCCCCAGUAAACGGCGGCCGUAACUAUAACGGUCCUAAGGUAGCGAAAUUCCUUGUCGGGUAAGUUCCGACCUGCACGAAUGGCGUAACGAUCUCCACACUGUCUCGGCCAGAGACUCGGUGAAAUUGAAGUCGCGGUGAAAAUGCCGUGUACCCGCAGAAAGACGGAAAGACCCUGUGCACCUUUACUAUAGCUUGACAUUGGGAUUUGAGCCUGCAUGUGUAGCAUAGGUGGGAGGCUGUGAACUCUGUACGCCAGUAUGGAGGGAGCCAUCGUUGAAAUACCACCCUUGUUUGUUCAGGUCCCUAACUCUUCGCCGUGAUCCGGUAAGAGGACAGUGUCUGGUGGGUAGUUUGACUGGGGCGGUCGCCUCC
rnacentral:rRNA from 1 species